rnacentral:rRNA from 1 species
CCCUUAGAUGUUCUGGGCCGCACGCGUGCUACACUGAGUGGAUCAGCGGGUCAGGUUGCGCGAAAGUGUUUCCUAAUCUUUAAAUCCGCUCGUGAUGGGGAUUGACGGUUGCAAUUUUCCGUCAUGAACGAGGAAUACCUUGUAAGCGCGGGUCAUCAUCCCGCGCUGAAUACGUCCCUGCCCUUUGUACACACCGCCCGUCGCUCCUACCGAUUGAGUGGUCCGGUGAGGCUUUGGGAUCUGAGCGGAAAGAGCGUUUCGCUGUUUCUACCCGGAAAACUCAGUCGAACCUUAUCAUUUAGAGGAAGGAGAAGUCGUAACA